AUACGUAGGGUGCAAGCGUUAAUCGGAAUUACUGGGCGUAAAGCGUGCGCAGGCGGUCUGCUAAGAGAGAUGUGAAAUCCCCGGGCUUAACCUGGGAACUGCGUUUCUAACUGGCAGGCUUGAGUGUGGCAGAGGGGGGUGGAAUUCCACGUGUAGCAGUGAAAUGCGUAGAGAUGUGGAGGAACACCGAUGGCGAAGGCAGCCCCCUGGGCUAACACUGACGCUCAUGCACGAAAGCGUGGGGAGCAAACAG
rnacentral:rRNA from 1 species